UACAGAGGGUGCGAGCGUUGUUCGGAAUUAUUGGGCGUAAAGGGCGCGUAGGCGGGAUGGCAAGUCAGUCGUGAAAUCUCUCGGCUCAACCGAGAAACGUCGGCUGAUACUGCCGUUCUUGAGGGAUGCAGAGGAGACUGGAAUUCCCGGUGUAGCGGUGAAAUGUGUAGAGAUCGGGAGGAACACCGGUGGCGAAGGCGGGUCUCUGGGCAUUUCCUGACGCUGAGGCGCGAAAGCGUGGGGAGCAAACGGG
rnacentral:rRNA from 1 species